CCAACAGGGAUUGCCCCAGUAACGGCGAGUGAAGCGGCAGGAGCUCAAAUUUGAAAUCUGGGGUCCCCGACCUCCGAGUUGUAAUUUGGAGAGGCAUCUUCGGGGGGGAGCGCCGGCCCAUGUUCCUUGGAACAGGACGUCACAGAGGGUGAGAAUCCCGUGCCAGGCCGGCUCCCUCCUCCCGGGUGAAGCGCCUUCGACGAGUCGAGUUGUUUGGGAAUGCAGCUCCAAGUGGGUGGUAAGUUUCAUCUAAAGCUAAAUACCGGCGGGAGACCGAUAGCGCACAAGUAGAGUGAUCGAAAGAUGAAAAGCACUUUGAAAAUAGAGUCAAAAAGUACGUGAAAUUGUUGAAAGGGAAGCGCUUGAGACCAGACUCAGGCCCGGGCAAACACCGCGCCCCCAGGGGCCGUGCAAUUGCCUGGGGCUGGGCCAGCAUCAGUCGGCGUGGCGGGACAAAGGCGCGGGGAAUGUGGCUCCCCUCGGGGAGUGUUACCAGCCCCGCGCUCAAUGCCGCCGACGCCGACUGAGGACCGCGCCUCGGCUAGGAUGCUGGCUUAAUGGCCUUCAGCGACCCGUCUUGAAACACGGACCAAGGAGUCUAACAUCUAUGCGAGUGUUUGGGUGCCAAACCCUUGCGCGGAAUGAAAGUGAGCGGAGGUGGGAACCCCCCAGCGGGGCGCACCAUCGACCGAUCCUGAUGUCUUCGGAUGGAUUUGAGUAGGAGCAUAGCUGUUGGGACCCGAAAGAUGGUGAACUAUGCCUGAAUAGGGUGAAGCCAGAGGAAACUCUGGUGGAGGCUCGCAGCGGUUCUGACGUGCAAAUCGAUCGUCAAAUUUGGGUAUAGGGGCGAAAGACUAAUCGAACCAU
rnacentral:rRNA from 1 species